UAAUCAAUCGAGAUAGAGAUCCAAUUUGCGACCAUUGAGAUAAUCAAAUAACUAUGACAGAUUCUUAAUCAAAAUGAGAAGGAGAAGGAGAAAGAUCUGACCAUCUCCGUCCUUGUCGAAGAGGCUUUAAACUCGGAGAUCUGACCAUCUCUGUUGUUGCACCGAUCUGCUAUGCACACUUGGCAGCUGCUCAGCUAGGAACGUUCAUGAAGUUUGAAGAUCAGUCUGAGACGUCCUCAAGCCAUGGUGGCGUGACAGCUUCGGGACCAGUCUCUGUUGCGCAGCUCCCUAAACUCAAAGACAACGUCGCCAAUUCCAUGUUCUUCUGUUAGGUGUAAAAGAAGAAGCAUCUCUAAACUCUAAUGUGCAGCAGCAGUCUGUUUUUCCACAACUUUGGCUACUCUAUUAAUCGGCUUUUAUCCUAGGAUCUCUCGGUUUCUUUUUAAGUGGUUAAGGCAAUUAAACAGUAGACUUGGUAUGCAUUUUGUGACUAUUCGCCAGUCUUAUUGCCUUUAGGUGGAUUGAAAAAUACUUUUGACCAUCAA